rnacentral:rRNA from 1 species
AUUGAACGCUGGCGGCAGGCUUAACACAUGCAAGUCGAGCGCCCCGCAAGGGGAGCGGCAGACGGGUGAGUAACGCGUGGGAAUCUACCCAUCUCUACGGAACAACUCCGGGAAACUGGAGCUAAUACCGUAUACGUCCUUCGGGAGAAAGAUUUAUCGGAGAUGGAUGAGCCCGCGUUGGAUUAGCUAGUUGGUGGGGUAAUGGCCUACCAAGGCGACGAUCCAUAGCUGGUCUGAGAGGAUGAUCAGCCACACUGGGACUGAGACACGGCCCAGACUCCUACGGGGGGCAGCAGUGGGGAAUAUUGGACAAUGGGCGAAAGCCUGAUCCAGCCAGGCCGCGUGAGUGAUGAAGGCCCUAGGGUUGUAAAGCUCUUUCGCAGGUGAAGAUAAUGACGGUAACCUGAGGAGAAGCCCCGGUUAACUCUGUGCCAGCCGCCGCCGUAACAC